UUUGCUCACACUCUAACCUGUUCAAAGGCGGAUCCUAACAAAGUCAGCAAGCUGUCGUCACCAGGAUGCCAAUGAGAAGCCAGGUGGAGCAGCCCUAAAGGUAUUCGUUGCAAUCCUCAAUCCCGACCACCACAUUCCGCUAAAGGUUAUAACACUCCCGAAGGAGCCACAUCCCUCCAGCCUUUUUAUGACGUUCGAAAUUGAUGUUAACCAGCGGACACGAAAGUGCUCCCCCUCAUCGUGAGACACAUGCUGUGGCGGUUUUGAGGCUCGCCACAACAUGUGUAUC
rnacentral:rRNA from 1 species